UCCUUAUUUUAAAAAAAUGCCUGUGUCCCUGGAGCAAAGAGAGAAGUAAAACAAACAAACAAGUCAAAGUUUCUGUGCUUUUCUAGGUCAUCAUGAUUUGAAUGUGGAAACAAAACUCUGAAAUACUUUUUGUUUUGAAUGAAAUUCAGAAUGGAGGGGCGUCUGGCAUCUGCCUUUCCAUACAGCCGACGGAGGGUUCCAGGAAAAGUCCACACAUACUUGAUUUUUGCCCCUGUUUGUAUCUGGAUCUUUGCCUCCUGUGGUCUGCACUAAGAGCCAUGAGAAUCUUCUUUCUCUGAGGUGUAUUCUUACUGGGGAAGGGCCCACAGGCUCCAUAAUUUUCUUUGCAUGAUUUCCUGCAGUGCUUGAGCAUUUAGCAAACAACCACCUCGAUGUUCCUCUAUGCUUUCGAGGUGAAAUUCAACUCGAGAUUUCGUCUGUGUCCUGGAGACCUGAUGCUCUGCGUUAACUGUGUGUGUGGCAUUCCCAGCACUUCAGAGCCACGGUGCUGAGCUGUCCUCCACAGUGGCUUCCAUAGCGCAGCAAAUAUUUAUGGAACCAUGGCUACGUGCCAGAAAUCUUUACCAAGGCUGUUGACUCACGGGUGAACAAGGCUGAUAACGUUUGCUGCCCAGCCUUUCCUGAGAAAAUGUACGAGAACACUGAAGGAUACAGGAGAGAUGAUGUUAGGGGUUAGAUUUGGCCUCCCGGAGCUCAUACGUUGAAGCCCUAACCUUCAGGACCUCAGGAUGUGACUGUAUUUAGAGAUAGAGUCUUAAAAGAGGCAAUUAAGUUAAAAUGAGGCCUUUUGGUGAGCCCUAAUCCAAUUUAGAUGCUGUCCUUAUAAGGAGAAGAAAUGAGGACACAGACACACAAAGAGGGAAGGUCAUCUGAAGACACAGAGAGAAGACGCCAUCUGCAAGCCAAGGAGAGGAGCCCCAGGAGAAACCAAGCCUGCCCACAUGUUGGUAUCAGACUUCCAGCCUCCGGGACUGUGAGAGGAUGAAUGCUUGUUGUCUAAGCCCCAGUGUGUGGCAUUUGUUAUGGAAGCCAGAGCACACUAAUCCAGAUAGAGAGCUGGCUAAUUAAACAGAAAGAGGAAUACUGCUUAAGGAGACUGGGUUGAAUGACGGCCCACUGUCCUGUGCCAAUAAAUUGCGGAAUUUUAAAAAAGUAUGUGCAGAAUAAAUGCUAAUGCUCGAUGACUGUGCGUACAGUAAGUGACGCAGACAUGUUACUGCUGCUUUUCUGCUACGCUUGUUAAUAUUAUUAUUUGCAAAACUCCUGAAGCAUGGGGAUGACGCCAUCUGCUGGACCGUAUCCUGCUCCCGUGCGUAAGGGCAGAGGGUAGAGGAGGCGCUUGAUACUGAUUCUAAACUAAAUCAUUCUUAAAACUGGAAGAGUCUGUCGUGAGCCACGGGAAGUUGUUUUCAAGUAAGGGGAAAGGGAAGUUUUGUAUUAUGAACACCGUCCACAGCAUCUCUUUUAUCUGGGAAGAAGCUGAGGUUCUGCUUUGCAGUCACAUUUUUGUCCAUGGUAAGUGGAUAAAUGUGGUUUGCAUCAUUCGGUGCCUUGGGAAUGUCUUACGGGAUAUUUCUGGAAUGGGCAAAGUUCAGCACAGUCUGGAGCCAAAAUGUCCCCAUUAUUGAGCCAAUAUAGUUCAAACGUUUAUGACCCAUCUCCAGAAUGGCGUGCACAUGUGAGGGGUUGACAGUGAGGUGGAACAUGUCCCCAGGAACGGAGAGAAAGCUGCGGAGAAGCAAGCGUGCUGUGUGGCUGCCUUGGACGUCCUUUCUGGUUUGGAAGCCUGCAGCUGCAGAAGGCCUCUGAGUGUGGAGGAGGCUCUUCCUGGUAAAGAAUGCACCUCCCAACCCUGGUUGGAAGCCCCAAGGCUGUGGGAAAGCCCAGGCUCCCUGGGCCUUGAUGGUUUUUUGUUUUUUUCUUUUUUUUUUCUCUUCCUGGAUUCUGCCUUUAAGAUCAAAGGAAGUCAUCUAGCAUAGUGUUCUCAUGAUGUGGUCUCUGGAUCCCUGGGGUCUCUAUGACCCUCUCAGGGGUCUGUGAGGUUGAAACUAUUUCAUAAUAAUACUAAGACGGUAUUUCCCCUUUUCACCAUCAGUCUCACAUGAGAGUGCCCUUGGGUUUUCCAGAGGAUACGUGGCGUGUGAAGAUAUUGCAUGAUGGCUAGUGAAACAUGUGCUUGUGUGUUCUUAUGUUCUCCAGAACCUUCUUAGUAGGGUUGAUGUGUUCCAGGCACAUUUUCAGAGAUGAACUCAGCUUGUUCUUAGUACCUCCACUGCAUUCUUGCGGCCUGUCUUCCCUGUGUCUACCAUCAUCUUUAUAAGUUGUUAUUUUGAAAUCCAAGCAGUUUCUUUGCAACUGUGCAGAAACAUGACACAAAGAUGGGUCAUGGACUUUCCAAAGGGACAUCAGAAGAUUUGCUUUCUCAGUGUGCAGCAUCUCAUGUGUAAAGACGCCAAAAAGGACAGAAUUGCUGUAUCAGAGCAUUCUCUGGGUUAUGAAAGGAGAAGUCUAAUCCCAAGAAACUGUGUGAAAUUGUAAAUAGGCAAUGAAAAUGUGAUGGGCGUCAGCUCUAUAGGCGUUAAGAAUUUACCUUAUUGUGUCUUACACAACAGAAAAAAUUCCAAAUUAUAUUAUGGUGCUAGUUAAAUUGUGAUAUUAUUUUUGGAUAAAACAUUCAGAGUUUAAGAAAAAAGGGAAUUGAGUAUUUUAAGCAUAGACUUGAUGAGCUCCUUAAAAACCCCAAAAUUGUAUGGCUUUUCAAACUAGACAUGACAGAACCGCAGGAGCAUCUUAUGGAGUAAGUUACCAUAUUGCAUAGGCUGGGUGAGAACACAACAGCUGAACGAAGAAUGGGGCCCUGUAGAGCUGGCUUUGCUGAAUGUCUACUGGUUGCAAAGUCAGCAAAGAAGUCGUGGCGCUGCCACUGUCCAUCAAUACUGUGACCUGUUGAAUGAAAGCCUCAGCUGCAAACAUGAGGACUGUAUUAAUAUCUCCUCUGCACAAUUGUACUUCUGGCUUAUAAACGGAGGCUGGACUUACUGCUUUUCUUUUUUUUCAGAUUGGGUUUCACC